GUGCUCACUUUGGCAGCAAAUACACUAAAAUUAGAAGGAUACAGAGAAGAUUAGCAUGGCUCCUGCACAAGGAUGACAUACAAAUUUGUGAAGUGUUCCAUAUUUUU
rnacentral:snRNA from 1 species